UGGGGAAUAUUGGACAAUGGGCGCAAGCCUGAUCCAGCAAUGCCGCGUGUGUGAAGAAGGCCUUCGGGUUGUAAAGCACUUUUAUCAGGAGCGAAACGCUGUCGGCUAAUACCCGGCGGAACUGACGGUACCUGAGGAAUAAGCACCGGCUAACUUCGUGCCAGCAGCCGCGGUAAUACGAAGGGUGCAAGCGUUAAUCGGAAUUACUGGGCGUAAAGCGUGCGUAGGCGGUUUCUUAAGUCUGCUGUGAAAUCCCCGGGCUCAACCUGGGAAUGGCAGUGGAUACUGGGAGGCUAGAGUGUGUCAGAGGGUGGUGGAAUUCCCGGUGUAGCGGUGAAAUGCAUAGAGAUCGGGAGGAACAUCAGUGGCGAAGGCGGCCACCUGGGACAACACUGACGCUGAGGCACGAAAGCGUGGGGAGCAAACAGGAUUAGAUACCCUGGUAGUCCACGCCCUAAACGAUGCGAACUGGAUGUUGGUCUCAACUCGGAGAUCAGUGUCGAAGCUAACGCGUUAAGUUCGCCGCCUGGGGGGUACGGUCGCAAGACUGGAAACUUAAAUGAAUUGACGGGGUCAUAGCUGUUUCC
rnacentral:rRNA from 1 species